rnacentral:rRNA from 1 species
UACGUAGGGUGCAAGCGUUGUUCGGAAUUACUGGGCGUAAAGAGUGUGUAGGCGGUGCUCUAAGUUCGGUGUGAAAUCUCCCGGCUCAACUGGGAGGGUGCGCCGAAAACUGGGGUGCUGGAGCGCGGGAGAGGAAAGCGGAAUUCCUGGUGUGAGCGGUGAAAUGCGUAGAUAUCAGGAGGAACACCGGCGGUGUAGACGG